rnacentral:rRNA from 1 species
GUGGGGAAUAUUGCACAAUGGGCGCAAGCCUGAUGCAGCAACGCCGCGUGAGGGAUGACGGCCUUCGGGUUGUAAACCUCUUUUAGUAGGGAAGAAGCGAAAGUGACGGUACCUGCAGAAAAAGCACCGGCUAACUACGUGCCAGCAGCCGCGGUAAUACGUAGGGUGCAAGCGUUGUCCGGAAUUAUUGGGCGUAAAGAGCUCGUAGGCGGCUUGUCGCGUCUGCUGUGAAAACCCGCGGCUCAACCUCGGGCCUGCAGUGGGUACGGGCAGGCUAGAGUGCGGUAGGGGAGAUUGGAAUUCCUGGUGUAGCGGUGGAAUGCACAGAUAUCAGGAGGAACACCGAUGGCGAAGGCAGAUCUCUGGGCCGUAACUGACGCUGAGGAGCGAAAGCAUGGGGAGCGAACAGGAUUAGAAACCCCUGUAGUCC